rnacentral:lncRNA from 1 species
CGAACGCGAAACCCAACUGUGUGAGCAAGCGGAACGUGUCCUUGACUGCGCAAGUCCGCUAUGUCCUACACACCCACCUACCGGACACCGUGAGCUGGAGCGGACCCCAACAGGAACGCACUGUGCACCGCUCCUGCCUGCGGGAUCUGUAUGCGUUCACCGAGCUUGAUCGAAAACGAGAAAACGAGUGAAGUGAGAAAGAGAGAAAGAGCGAAAAAAGAAACAGAAAGAGAUAACCUCAUCGAGCCAAGACGAAUCAUGCUCGGAGGAAAGACCGGGAUUGUGGAAUGAUCUUAACGAGUCGAGUAUAUACUAACAGAGUAAGAGCAAUUUCUAUGUGGUUCCGAUCUUUCGAUCCCGUUUUCUUCCCUUUAAAAGUCCUUGUUGAAUUAUAUCGGUAUUUUUUUCUGCUACAUAACCUCAACUAUCCUUGUAUCUUAAAAGAAAACGAUAGGCAGAACCUUCUUGUUCCUGGAGAUGAUAAAAGUCUUGGUUUCCGGUUCGUUGAACUGGAACUGAGACGAAGUGUAUAAGAUUCGGUCUACGGAGCUUGAUCAUAGACGACCGGCUCUUAGGUUAGGAGAUAUCCGGAUUGCUUUGAAAUUACCGCGCGUACGAUUACUACGACGAUUAAUUAACGAAUUAUUCACCAUUAUUGAAAUAUGAGAAAGGAAAAAAAUAAAAUAUACAUUGGCGGGAAGAGUUACAGCAUGGGUGAGAAAUGAAAAAUACAACUCGGUGUUCGUGUAUAAUUAGCGGCCGUAGAGUUUCCUAGUCGCGACGUGAUGGUCGAGGUGAUCACGAGGAGGGAAAGGAGGAGUGGAUGGAUGGAAAGAGAAGGCAAGCGCAAUGAAUCAAAAGGAGAGGAACGAGUGAGAAAGAGGCAACGGAGAGAGGGCCACUGUCACUGCCAGGGCUACGGUGAGGUAAUAUCAGAUUCCAUGCCACGAGGCAGUUGGCCGCCAUCUUGGUGUACGCUGUUCUCCAAUGCGGUUCUGUCGCGUUCUUCCACCCAGAUUCCUUUCGAUUCGUUCACCGUGAUUCGAAUUACACAAUUCCGCUUGAUUUCUCAUACUCUUCGAUUCCUUUUCACCAAGCGUACAAGAACGUUAUUUUAAAACGGAUUAAUAUAUAAGAAGGAUGAGUUUUGAAAUACCUAUAGUAAGAGAUUAAGAGAUCAAAAAGAGUUUAACCUAACUUAUUUAAUUUAUUUUUGUUCAAAUAUAAUAUCUAGCAGUUAAAAAAUUUGUUAUUGUUUCCUUUCUUUCAUUUUAAUUAAAUUGUUUGUAAAUCUUUAUAAGAUUAUAAGAUUUUCAUCUUUAUUUGGAAUUU